rnacentral:rRNA from 1 species
UACGUAGGGUGCGAGCGUUAAUCGGAAUCACUGGGCGUAAAGGGUGCGUAGGCGGGUUUUUAAGUCAGGGGUGAAAUCCUGGAGCUCAACUCCAGAACUGCCUUUGAUACUGAAGAUCUUGAGUCCGGGAGAGGUGAGUGGAACUGCGAGUGUAGAGGUGAAAUUCGUAGAUAUUCGCAAGAACACCAGUGGCGAAGGCGGCUCACUGGCCCGGUACUGACGCUGAGGCACGAAAGCGUGGGGAGCAAACAGG